CACGUAGGGAACGAGCGUUGUCCGGAAUCAUUGGGCGUAAAGCGCGCGUAGGCGGCUUUGCAAGUCGGGUGUGAAAUCCCCAGGCUUAACCUGGGAACUGCAUUCGAGACUGCAUUGCUAGAGUAUGGGAGAGGGAAGUGGAAUUUCCGGUGUAGCGGUGAAAUGCGUAGAUAUUGGAAAGACCACCAAUGGCGAAGGCACUCUACUGGGCCAUUACUGACACUGAGAGACGAAAGCUAGGGGAGCAAAUGGG
rnacentral:rRNA from 1 species